rnacentral:rRNA from 1 species
AACGAACGCUGGCGGCAUGCCUAACACAUGCAAGUCGAACGAGACCUUCGGGUCUAGUGGCGCACGGGUGCGUAACGCGUGGGAACCUGCCCUUAGGUUCGGAAUAACUCCCCGAAAGGGGUGCUAAUACCGGAUAAUGUCUCCGGCCCAAAGAUUUAUCGCCUUUGGAUGGGCCCGCGUUGGAUUAGCUAGUUGGUAGGGUAAAAGCCUACCAAGGCGCCGAUCCAUAGCUGGUCUGAGAGGAUGAUCAGCCACACUGGGACGGAGACACGGCCCAGACUCCUACGGGAGGAAGCAGUGGGGAAUAUUGGACAAUGGGCGAAAGCCUGAUCCAGCAAUGCCGCGUGAGUGAUGAAGGCCUUAGGGUUGUAAAGCUCUUUUACCCGGGAUGAUAAUGACAGUACCGGGAGAAUAAGCCCCGGCUAACUCCGUG